rnacentral:rRNA from 1 species
UACGGGGGGAGCAAGCGUUGUUCGGAUUUACUGGGCGUAAAGGGCGCGUAGGCGGUCAGCACAAGUCAGUUGUGAAAUCUCCGGGCUUAACUCGGAAAGGUCAACUGAUACUGUGCGACUAGAGUGCGGAAGGGGCAACUGGAAUUCUCGGUGUAGCGGUGAAAUGCGUAGAUAUCGAGAGGAACACCUGCGGCGAAGGCGGGUUGCUGGGCUGACACUGACGCUGAUGCGCGAAAGCUAGGGGAGCGAACGGG